UGCCCUUAUGAUCGGGGAUAACAGUUGGAAACGGCUGCUAAUACCGGAUACGCUCAAAAUGAACUUUUUUGAGGAAAGAUGGACCUCUGCUUGCAUGCUAUCACGUAAGGAUGACGUCCGCGUCCCAUUAGCUUGUUGGCGGGGUAACGGCCCACCAAGGCAACGAUGGGUAGCCGAUUUGAGAGGAUGAUCGGCCACACUGGAACUGAAACACGGUCCAGACUCCUACGGGAGGCAGCAGUGGGGAAUAUUGCGCAAUGGGACGAAAGCCUGACGCAGCGACGCCGCGUGAGGGAAUGAAGGUUUUCGGAAUCGUAAACCUCUGUCAGAAGGGAAGAAACUACGGUUGUGCUAAUCAGCAGCGUACUGACGGUACCUUCAAAGGAAGCACCGGCUAACUCCGUGCCAGCCGCCGC
rnacentral:rRNA from 1 species